UACAGAGGGGGCAAGCGUUGUUCGGAAUUACUGGGCGUAAAGGGCGCGUAGGCGGCCUGUUAAGUCGAACGUGAAAUCCCCGGGCUCAACCCGGGAACUGCGUCCGAUACUGGCAGGCUUGAAUCCGGGAGAGGGAUGCGGAAUUCCAGGUGUAGCGGUGAAAUGCGUAGAUAUCAGGAGGAACACCAGUGGCGAAGGCGGUGGUCUGGGCCGGAACUGACGCUGUAGAGCGAAAGCGUGGGGAGCGAACAGG
rnacentral:rRNA from 1 species